GACGAACGCUGGCGGCGUGCCUAAUACAUGCAAGUCGAGCGGACCUCUUCGGAGGUCAGCGGCGGACGGGUGAGUAACACGUGGGCAACCUGCCUGUAAGACUGGGAUAACACCGGGAAACCGGUGCUAAUACCGGAUAAUCCUUUUCCUCACAUGAGGGGAAGCUGAAAGACGGUUUCGGCUGUCACUUACAGAUGGGCCCGCGGCGCAUUAGCUAGUUGGUGGGGUAACGGCCCACCAAGGCGACGAUGCGUAGCCGACCUGAGAGGGUGAUCGGCCACACGGGGACGGAGACACGGCCCAGACUCCGACGGGAGGAAGCAGAAGGGAAUCUUACGCAAUGGACGAAAGUCUGACGGAGCAACGCCGCGUGAGCGAAGAAGGCCUUCGGGUCGUAAAGCUCUGUUGUCAGGGAAGAACACGUAUCGGAGUAACUGCCGGUACCUUGACGGUACCUGACCAGAAAGCCACGGCUAACUACGUGCCAGCCGCCGCAGUAACAC
rnacentral:rRNA from 1 species